GAGCGAGAGAGCCAACAGAUGUCUAUCUAUCUUUUAUAGUUUAUAUUUUUAUUUCUUAGUGAGCAGCAGGUGAGAAGGGACGUGUAUACCUGCCUGGUAUCUGGAUUGUGGUCCACUUUCUCAUUGGUGUGGAAUAUUUCCUGGCUAUUUUAAGCCAUCUAGUCUGCACGUACAGGUUCGUGUGAGAUCAAACACCUUUGGAAUGAACUACAACAGAGAUAUUGAGCCAGGCCCACUUUCAGAUCCAGCAUCUGUGAGUUGUGACUGCAACAAAAAGUUCUUCUGGAUGGAUGGAUACACAGACACACUCCCCACAUCUUGUAUAAAGUCUUCCCAGAAGCCAGGAAGCUGUUAGAGCUACAAACGAGGACAAACACCAGAUUUUCUUCCAUUUUCACUUCCUGUGAUGGCCAGGAGAGGCGGAGUCGCAGCCACGUGCUACAUGUUCGGAGGAUUUGUCCACCGUUCCUGGCGUCUUCUCCAGCAUCCCCAGUGUCUUUGACGCAAUUACGCUCCAACAACCGGCUGGCUGUGUCCUCACCCGUGCUGUGCUGGAGUCACAAGAAGAGAUUGUGAGUUUCCCAGCAUCACCUCUAAGUGUCGCCGAAGGACCAACAGCGUACGCCAGCCAUGAUGUUGGCGUGAGGCACCGCACAUUUCCACGGUUAUUUCACUCUUGAUACAUCUGAACUUUGCCGUGAAAAAGAACGUACGCCACGUUUUUGUGCGUACGCACCUUUUGUACAUGAGGCCCCUGGUGUGCAGGUGUGAGCUGAUGAUUUUUUCAUUAUUGUCGAAUUCAGUCGGUUUGGCUGAGUGCAGCGGGCCAAAUGUGCUUUAAAACCAUAAUCUACACAUUGGUAAUUGUUAACAAGACAGUGUAAUUGAUUGUCUUGUCAGUUAAUACAUACCAUUCAAUCAACCUGCUAAUAUCGGUCCAUCAAAAUAGCAAACAAAAACAAGUUUGAAUUGUGAUCAAACUGAGCGUAUGCUCUGACAAGAACGAGAAAACAGAUGCAACUACUGGCCUUUACAAAAAACACAAACAAUAGGCAUCUGUGUUCCAUUUACAGCUUGUUACAGUAACUCGUGGUGCAACAUAGCGUAUUUCAACACAAGCCUCACUCACAAAUCAUAUUGUGUGGUUGAUGGAGAAUAACUUUGGAUGAUGGGACGCUAUUGUUUUUUAUUCUGGGUGAGAAGAACACAUCCACCAUGGCUCGAAAAGCAAAAAGAGGGGAAAAAAAUCCUAAAACUGAAUGUUUAAAAAAAUAGAAUUUUUGUUUGUUUUUCUGGCUGCAUGUUUGUUAGUUAACAGGCUAAUUUCUGGUUCAUGUCGGAUUAAUAUUAAUCAGACGGGACCACUAUUUGCAAUCUGGUGUGGGAGGAACCGUUCCAAAGUCACUUGAACAAUAAAAAUAGAAAACAAUAUUUUCCAUCUGGAAUAGCACCAAAAUUAACUUAAGCUAACGGUAGAUUUUAUUUCUUGAACACAUAAUUCUAAACUCUAAAGUUUGUUUUUUCCUGUGCAAUAGCUCAAAUAAGGCUUUCUUUAUUGUCAUCUGAACAGCAUUUAACCCCAUUAAAACCUCUGAAAGGGCUUCUAGCUGCCCCCACCCCUUCACUACACCGUCCACGCUGCUGCGUGGAUGUUUGACAUCCAGGCAGCGCUCACUCUCAUACAAGCUCCCCAGGGAGCGGGCUUGAGGUGAAAUGUCAGGGGUCAACACAGUGUGUGUGUUGGUAUUGGUUAGUAGUUGAGGAAGUUUUAAGAGUUCACAGUAAGAGUUACAUGCCACACACACACACACACACACACACAUGUGCACACACUCGCAUACAGCACACCCAGGUGCAGAUUUGUUCCAGACUGGAACUCAAACUUGUAUUUUAUUGCCACAGGGAAACUGAAGUUACUAUGAACGUGUGCUUGUGCAUGUGUUUAUGUGCAAAUGUGUCUGUGUAUAUGGAGAUGGCACUCGGUGGACAGAUGGUCCUUUGUGACUCCUGACACCUACCAGCUGCUGCUCUGUCUUCUUCACCUACUUUCUUCUUUUAACCUAUCUUCUCCUUAUCUCCUCCUUUACACAAUCGAUGUUCAACUCACUUUGUUUUUGUACUCCUCUUUUAACCACUGUUAAGUGCUAAAGGUAUUUGGCGGAUUCGUUUCAACCUGGAGGAGGGAGAAUCUGUGACGCUGAAAGAGUGAGACAAUUAGGUGCCCGGGUGCUACCGGACAAAUCUAUGAUUCUAAACAUUCUAAAUACACUAGGAAUGGGUAUUUUUUAAAUCUCCUUGAUAGACUAUGGGGAAAUUUAAUUAUUUUAUUUGAAAUAAAAUUGGUGGCACGGUGGACGACUGGUUAGAGCGUCUGCCUCACAGUUCUGAGGACUGGGGCACAGUCCCUGGCCCCGCCUGUGUGGAGUUUGCAUGUUCUCCACGUGCCUGCAUGGGUUUUCUCCGGGCACUCCAGUUUCCUCCCACAUCCCAAAAACAUGCAUGGUAGGUUAAUUGACACCUCUAAAUUGCCCGUAGGUGUGAAUGUGAGUGCAAAUGGUUGUUUGUUUGUAUGUGCCCUGUGAUUGGCUGGCAACCAGUUCGGGGUGUACCCCGCCUCCUGCCCGAUGAUAGCUGGGAUAGGGUCCAGCACGCCCGCGACCCUAGUGAGGAGAAGCGGCUCAGAAAAUGGAUGGAUGGAUGGAUGAAAUUAAAUUUAAAUUGUAUUUUGAUGGAGAAUCUCUCUGUGAAUGUUCUGAACUCCUGUUUUUAUGUCAGUGUUGUAUUGAACAGAA